GCGCUCGUGGCUCAGCUGGAUAGAGCGUCUGACUACGAAUCAGAAGGUCGGGGGUUCGAAUCCCUCCGAGCGCACCA
rnacentral:tRNA from 3 species